rnacentral:rRNA from 1 species
AACGAACGCUGGCGGCAGGCUUAACACAUGCAAGUCGAACGCCCCGCAAGGGGAGUGGCAGACGGGUGAGUAACGCGUGGGAAUCUACCCAGUUCUACGGAACAACAGUUGGAAACGACUGCUAAUACCGUAUACGCCCUACGGGGGCAAGAUUUAUCGGAAUUGGAUGAGUCCGCGUAAGAUUAGCUAGUUAGUGGGGUAAUGUCCUACCAAGGCGACGAUCUUUAGCUGGUCUGAGAGGAUGAGCAGCCACACUGGGACUGAGACGCGGCCCAGACUCCUACGGGCGGCAGCAGUGGGGAAUAUUGGACAAUGGGCGCAAGCAUGAUCCAGCCAUGCCGCGUGAGUGAUGAAGGCCUUAGGGUUGUAAAGCUCUUUCACCGAUGUAGAUAAUGACGGUAGUCGGAGAAGAAUCCCCGGCUAACUUCGUGCCAGCCGCCGCAGUAACAC